rnacentral:misc_RNA from 1 species
CGUAGCAACCCUGUCGACGAGAGGCAAGCCCCGCGGAUCGCGCCUCGCUACUGCCCUUGGUGAAGAACCGUCCACCCGGAGAGGCGGUGUCGCACGGCUUCCCUUGCACCCGUUCUUUAUCUUCUUUCUUUCUCGUCGCUUAGCUCUUGCUGCUCAUCUCGUCUCUAAGCACGCAUCAGCGAAUCCUCGUCGGCGGCCGACGUUGCACGUCGGGUAGCACAGUGUAGCGCUGCAGCGCUCACGCGUGGCACUUGGGCUCGUUGUUGCUCCAUCGCUGCUUACAAUGACGUCCUGGAAGGACCGGAUCGCCGCGAUGCUCUUCUUCCGUGACCCUGAGGAGGCGCUAACAGCGGAGAAGAUGCGCAACGCCGAGGCGAUGGCCAAGACAACGGAGGUGCGCCUGCAGCACAACCAAGAUGAGCGGGAGGUCAAGGAGAAGAUGCUGCAGCUGGAAAAUGGCAUCAAGGCGCAGCGGGAGCGCUACGCUCGACAGGCCGCCCCAAUGCUGAAGGAGUUCGACGACAUUGCCAUUUCGCAGCACUACUACCAGGAGGUGGGAAACAGCGUGGCCGCGCAGGAGACGUUUGUGGAUCAAAUGGCGCAGCGGGAGACGCACCAAUUCGGCUACAUAAGCAAGAAGCUCAUCUCCGUCAGCCUCAAUUUUGAGGCUUUACGCCAGCAGAUGCGGUCAGGGAAGCCGUUCGCACGAGAGCUGAAGGCCACGCUCGAUGAUGCGGAGAGUGAGGACCUGAAUGCCAUGUCGGAGCCACUCCGUGCAUUUGCCGACCGCGGCGUCCCGGAGUCGACGCUUGUGCGCGCUGCCGCCUUUGAUCUUGCCCGCUCCAUCGAGGAGACUGGCAAGGCACCGGUGCAGCAGCCGGUGCUGGGGUGGCUGGACCUGUUAAAGUUUCGUACCGCCUUUAGUCCCUCUACGGUAGACCAGAACGAAGUUCGCGCUCGCCGCACCGCUGCCCAGUUCACGCGCUACAUCGAGCAGAGACAGUACGCGAGGGCACUGGCUCUAGCGGAGGAGGUAGACACGUGGACGCGCAAUGAGCACGAUGCCGCCGUGGAAUACUUCAACAAUUCCUACAGGAGCUUCCGGCAAGCGACCCUGCCCGUCAUCACGGCUGAAAUCUUUCUCGCCUACGCCGCCGCCUCCCUCAACGCGUCACGGGUGGCGUGUGUGGAACAUAUGCUGAAGGAAUAAAGAAAACCAUGGCGUGAGGACCUUGAGAGAGCGAGCCGUAGCGAGGCGAGGCGUGUGCGUACUCCUGCACGGCGCUCCUUCACCAUCUCCUCUUCUCUCUUGUGAUGCCUCUGCUUCUCUUGAGCGCUUGCCUCGCGGCAUGGAAGAGCAUCAUGGCGUACGUGCAUGUGUCGUUGUGUGGAUAGGCGUGCAUGCGUCUGCCUUUGAAUGUGGACCGGCCGGUCGAAGAAUUGGCGGUCACCGUAGCGCACAAAGAAGAGCAGUAAUAGAGUAAACGACACGCACACGAACACACACACACACACACACACACACACACACACACACACACACACAUGCGCGCACAACACCCCUGGGCCUCCAACGGCUUCUCGGUGAGACCAAGACGUGCGCUGGCGGGGUUUUCUUCCCCGCAAAGGGGCCACCCACUGCUUCUUCCCUUUCCCCGUUCGCCAAAUCGGAUGCUGCCGCCAUCACCGCAUCUCUCCUUCCAUCCCUCCUUCAUCCCUCAG